AAAAAAAACAAUCGAAAAAAGAAACCUAGCGAUCAGAAAAAAACAAAAAUUUCUGAAAACAAAACUCCUUCAACAUAUGACGAACCGGAGGAAACAAUUGAUGUUCCAAAAAAAAACAAUCGAAAAAAGAAACCUAGCGAUCAGAAAAAAGCUAAAGUUUCUGAAAAUAAAUCUCCUUCAAUGUAUGAUGAAACAGAUAAAACAAUUGAUUAUCCAAACGAAUACAAUCCAACUAGGAAAC